CUUGGCUUUAUCCCACCCUGCCAGUUUUCUUUCCCUUUCUGUACCUCUGUAAAAUAUCUGCUUAGAGUCUCUGAUUUGAAAUGUUAAUUAAGGUGGGCCUGGCCUCAGGUUACAGUGUGCAUCCCUUUUUACAUGCAAAGGGGAAUAUGCUAACUAGGUUACUUAGAGUCUGGGGGCCAAGAGGGAGGCUUCCAGAAGACAACAAAAGUCCAUGAAGAACAGGGCACUUCUCAGCAACCCUCAAGGAAGCAAUCGGAUUGGAGGGUGACACUGAGAAUGCUCCAACUUUCUUCGAGGAUGCUAAAACAUUCAUCCUGGAGCACAACCCACUUUCAGAGACUCAUAAAUACAAUAAGAACAUGAUGAGACAUUGGGAAAACCUGCAUCCAAGACUUUUCUCUUCAAUACAAGUUUUCCAAAGCAAACCAGCCAGAGGACAAAGAUCCUGCAAAAUCCUAUUGAUUUGCUCUCACCACUGUACCAAGUUUUAUUGCAAUCUGUUAACAUCUUUGGAAAUGCUUCGACAAGAUUCCAAAUCUACUGAUAGGAAAUCUUUUUCCUGCCAAGAUAUAGUGGUGAGUUUAAAGUGUUUGUAUACGUUUUUUCACUUUAUUUUCUUAAAAGAAGUAAUAGAAGUAAAGAAAAGGAAAGUCGCAUGGAAAAAUUCCUGACUUACUGAGUAGAUUCUUGCCAGACGACUCAGGCUUUCUGAUACAUAGAAAAAAAUCACAUUUGGAUACCCUUUUAUAAAAUCUUGACUAAACUGACAAAGCAAUGAAAGCAGGCCAGCUUACAAUUUCUAGUAUAUCGUAAGAGUUA
rnacentral:lncRNA from 10 species